AUGACGCUUCGCAGGAACUUCUGGCACUUUAAUGCCCGUCCGUGGCAAACCUGGACAGAGGUGAAACCCAGGGGGCCACAAACCUGGACAGAGGUGAAACCCAGUUUAGUAGCCAAAGAGGCACGGCCAUAGAGUUUACUGCUGUAUGCUGUGGGAGACAGUCUGCUUUACCAAAGGUGAGCAUCCUAUUCACCUGUUCGCAAGGAUGGAAGUAACGACCAUCUUGGGGUUUGCGCUGAGGGAUGGGAGGCUUGAGGACUACACAUUAGUUCUAGAGAUAUUUUAGCCAAAAAAUGAUUUGUCUCCAUGUCUGCUUCACCGCCCCGCAGUAAUCUGCGACAUGCGUCCUCGUGGCCGAAAUAGCUCUCCUGACCUGGCUCAUUAACAGGCUCCAUCUCUUAACUACUCACACCGCACUGUGACUUUGACAGCUGCAACCGUUUAGUAAAUGGAUCCCUAGUGGCACAAUGCCGGAACAUCGUCACAAGCGAAUCGGGUAGAAAAAAAGUCUAAUUUUGUAAACGGAAAGCCGGUAAUUUUACGCAUAGUGUAUUUUUUUGUCGUGGUUGUAGAAAUGGAGUGCGCUUCGUGGCUAGAGGAUUGCGUCACGGCAGUCUCGCCUUGGCCCGCUCUCCCGUGUCUGUCCGCGUGCCCUCGCCCAGCAGGAGAAUCCUUUUUUAUCCGUUUUUUUUUUUUUUAAACAAAUGGUGUAGAAAUGUAUAUAUUUGUAUGGAAGUUCUCCUUUUUUAUGAUAGCAAAAAAUAAACUUGCAAGAAUAUUGUAAUAAAA